ensembl:lncRNA
AGAACAGUCCCCACAUUCCUGGCUGGAGAUCGCUGGGAACAGUCAGGUUUGCGGGAGGAGAGAGACGGCUGCUCUGGACGCGUUAAGCCGGAGGAGGACACAGAAUCAGAGAAUCUGUGGGUGCCUGGGGGCCUGAACAGGCACAGGGGUGGGGCGGGAGGCUCUGGACAUCCCUGGGGUGGUUCAGAAAAACCCCGCCACCUUGUCAGCUGAAGGGUCCACAUUCGUCUGGGACCUGGGCCCCAUGUAUUUUCAAUCUCACGCCUUCCAUGCUGGGACAAGGACUUGCGCCAAAGAUCAGUUUCACAAUUACUACGAAGACAUUUCACAACAGACAACGGAGAAAGCAAACUCACAAGACGUCCUGGAAGACCUACGGCCAAUCUGAGAUCAAAUACAAUCUGGCCUUGGGAGCCAGGCCCGGGGGACAAGGUCCAGCCACUCCCGCCACUCCCUCCCACCACUCCUGGAUCUGUCCGGGGAGCGUCUGCGGGGUCACUGCUCUCUCCAGCAAGGGCCCUGAAGUCAGGGCAAGACACAGAUGCCAUCAGCGAGGGGCUGGUGGGGCCUCUGUCUCCUGCCCAGUCAGCUCAGUCCUCUUGUUUACUAGCAAACCCGCACCGCACACGCCAAUUCAUCGUCCUGAAUAAUUGAUCCAGCACGUUUGAAUAAUUCAGGCUCAGCUGGGACCCACGGUGGAGAAAUCCUAUAGUCCUUUGGCUUUCUCUCCCCAUGUGACAAAGCUGGGACAGACCAGGAACCACCCCCCAGGGAGCCAGCCUGUAGGCCAGCCCUGGAACAGGCAGCUUCUCCUAGUGGGCAUGGCUCUGGCUCCCUGGAUCUGUGUUGCUAUAAAAUCUUAAAUUCCAGAACAUGCUCUCUUUGUGAGGGGAGCAAGAUUUUCUAGGGCUUUCAUAGGGAGAUGGGUGCCCACGGCCUCGGAAAAGAGCAAGCCCGCCCUGCGCCAGCCCGUGAGGUCUCGCUGUUUACUUCCCCUCACUGCUCUUGGACAGUCUGGGGAAGAAGCUGGUCAACAGAAGCGCAGCUGCUCGAGGCCACGUUCCUUCUGCUCACGGGCUUUGCAGGCACUGCCCCCUCUCCUGGGCUCUUUCCUGACUGCCCCUUCCC